UGUGGCGCGGGUUCCGCUCCACCCCCGGAGCCCCGCCCCCGACGCCCAGCGCUCCGCCCCGCCCUCGCCUGGCUCCCUGCCCCGCCCCGCCCGCCGUCCCCCGCUUGGCUUCCAGCGCCGCUUGCGCUCCGGAGCGCUGGCUCUGCUGGCGCUGAGAAAUGGACCAAUUUUGACAAGAUAUAGUGCUGCAGCGUGCCUGAUGGGAUAUAUUCAGUCAUGGCAUCCGAACUUUGUAAGACGAUCUCUGUGGCAAGGCUAGAAAAGCACAAGAAUUUGUUCUUAAAUUAUAGGAAUCUGCACCAUUUUCCUUUGGAGUUACUGAAAGAUGAGGGACUGCAGUACUUGGAGAGACUCUAUAUGAAAAGGAACUCCCUGACAUCCUUGCCAGAAAACCUUGCUCAGAAGCUUCCAAACCUUGUGGAACUAUACCUGCACUCAAAUAACAUAGUUGUGGUUCCGGAAGCCAUUGGGUCUCUUGUAAAACUCCAGUGUCUGGAUCUUAGUGACAAUGCCUUAGAAAUUGUUUGCCCAGAAAUUGGUCGUCUGAGAGCUUUACGUCAUCUUCGAUUAGCUAAUAACCAACUGCAAUUCCUACCUCCAGACCAUGAGAACAUUGCUCUGAACUGGUGUUCCUGUGAACACAGUUGGACUAACCGCUACUUGAGAUGUGUGUUGUUCCAUAAGAGGUUGGCGAUUUGAAGGAGCUGCAGACACUAGACAUUUCUACCAAUCGUUUGCUAACUUUACCCGAGAGGCUUCACAUGUGCCUUUCUCUGCAGUACCUCACUGUGGACCGAAAUCGUCUAUGGUAUGUGCCGCGCCAUCUCUGCCAGCUGCCCAGCCUCAAUGAGCUCUCCAUGGCUGGAAACCGUCUUGCAUUUUUGCCACUUGG
rnacentral:sRNA from 1 species